UACGGAGGGUGCGAGCGUUGUUCGGAAUCACUGGGCGUAAAGCGCGUGUAGGCGGCCCACUAAGUCUGAUGUGAAAAGCCCGGGGCUCACCCCCCGGAAGUGCAUUGGAAACUGGUGGACUCGAGUCCCGGAGAGGAGAGUGGAAUUCCUGGUGUAGCGGUGAAAUGCGGUAGAUAUCAGGAGGAACACCGGUGCGAAGGCGGCUCUCUGGACGGUGACUGACGCUGAGACGCGAAAGCGUGGGGAGCAAACAGG
rnacentral:rRNA from 1 species